GUGAUUAAGUUAUUAAGGGCGCACGGUGGAUGCCUUAGCACUAGAAGCCGAUGAAUGACGUUACUAACGACGAUAUGCUUUGGGUAGCUGUAAGUAAG
rnacentral:rRNA from 1 species